GUACUUGCAUGGGCGAAGCCUGAUGCAGCGACGCCGCGUGCGGGAUGAAGGCCUUCGGGUUGUAAACCGCUUUCAGCAGGGACGAGGCCGCAAGGUGACGGUACCUGCAGAAGAAGCCCCGGCUAACUACGUGCCAGCAGCCGCGGUAAUACA
rnacentral:rRNA from 1 species